rnacentral:lncRNA from 1 species
CAUGUGAAAUUACAAAACUACCCCUAAUACAAAAACUAGUCUAGGUGCCCUAAAAUACAAGGGCUGAAAAAUCCUAUAUUUCUAGGGUACCCUACCUACAUUAUGGAGCCCUAAAUACAAGGCCCAAAAAUAAUGAAACCUUAAUCUAAUAUUUACAAAGAUAAGCGGGCUUGUACUUAGCCCAUGGGCCCGAAAUCUACCCUAAGGCUCAUAAGAACCCUAGGGCCUUCUCUUGCAUCUCUGGCCCAAUCUACUUGGAGUUUUUCUAUCCAAUGCCCUUGCGGAGUAGGAUUGCAUCA